rnacentral:rRNA from 1 species
CAAAUUUAAAAUCUACCUGGUUUCCAGGUCGAGUUGUAAUUUGAAGAUACGUUUUUGACGUUCCGGGUUGAACUAAAUCCUUUGGGAUAAGGUAUCAUGGAGGGUGAGAAUCCCGUAUAUACCAACCGUAGGGAUGUUAUUUAAUACGUUUCUAAGAGUCGAGUUGUUUGGGAAUGCAGCUCUAAAUGGGUGGUAAAUUUCACCUAAUGCUAAAUAUAAGCGAGAGACCGAUAGCGAACAAGUACAGUGAUGGAAAGAUGAAAAGAACUUUGAAAAGAGAGUUAAAUAGUACGUGAAAUUGUUGAAAGGGAAACGAUUGAAGUCAGUCAUGCCAGUGGGAAUCAACUUAGAGGAAACUCUGAGUGCACUUCUUCGCUUGGCAGGUCAACGUCGAUUUUGGAUGUCAUAAAAUGAUUGGGGGAAGGUAGCUCCUUCGGGAGUGUUAUAGCCCUUGGUAGAUGUGAUGUCUGGGAUCGAGGAUUGCAAUGGAUACCCUUUGGGGCUAGCCGCCUGAUCUCUAAUCGGUAUUGGGUUACGGAUAGCAUGCUGACCGUGAUCUAAUUAUUGGUUAAAAGGU